rnacentral:rRNA from 1 species
GAUGAACGCUGGCGGCGUGCCUAAUACAUGCAAGUCGAGCGAACAGACGAGGAGCUUGCUCCUCUGACGUUAGCGGCGGACGGGUGAGUAACACGUGGAUAACCUACCUAUAAGACUGGGAUAACUUCGGGAAACCGGAGCUAAUACCGGAUAAUAUAUUGAACCGCAUGGUGCAAUGGUGAAAGACGGUUUUGCUGUCACUUAUAGAUGGAUCCGCGCCGCAUUAGCUAGUUGGUAAGGUAACGGCUUACCAAGGCGACGAUGCGUAGCCGACCUGAGAGGGUGAUCGGCCACACUGGAACUGAGACACGGUCCAGACUCCUACGGGAGGCAGCAGUAGGGAAUCUUCCGCAAUGGGCGAAAGCCUGACGGAGCAACGCCGCGUGAGUGAUGAAGGUCUUCGGAUCGUAAAACUCUGUUAUUAGGGAAGAACAAAUGUGUAAGUAACUAUGCACGUCUUGACGGUACCUAAUCAGAAAGCCACGGCUAACUACGUG